rnacentral:pre_miRNA from 1 species
UUUUACAAACGAGCAAAGAAAGUAGUUUCUUGAGAUGGAAGCUACUCCUGGUGAAGAUGUUGUGAA